rnacentral:rRNA from 1 species
CGGACAGUGUCUGGUGGGUAGUUUGACUGGGGCGGUCUCCUCCUAAAGAGUAACGGAGGAGCACGAAGGUUGGCUAAUCCUGGUCGGACAUCAGGAGGUUAGUGCAAUGGCAUAAGCCAGCUUGACUGCGAGCGUGACGGCGCGAGCAGGUGCGAAAGCAGGUCAUAGUGAUCCGGUGGUUCUGAAUGGAAGGGCCAUCGCUCAACGGAUAAAAGGUACUCCGGGGAUAACAGGCUGAUACCGCCCAAGAGUUCAUAUCGACGGCGGUGUUUGGCACCUCGAUGUCGGCUCAUCACAUCCUGGGGCUGAAGUAGGUCCCAAGGGUAUGGCUGUUCGCCAUUUAAAGUGGUACGCGAGCUGGGUUUAGAACGUCGUGAGACAGUUCGGUCCCUAUCUGCC